GACGAACGCUGGCGGCGUGCUUAACACAUGCAAGUCGAACGGAAAGGCCCUGCUUUUGUGGGGUUCUCGAGUGGCGAACGGGUGAGUAACACGUGAGUAACCUGCCCUUGACUUUGGGAUAACUUCAGGAAACUGGGGCUAAUACCGGAUAGGAGCUCCUGCUGCAUGGUGGGGGUUGGAAAGUUUCGGCGGUUGGGGAUGGACUCGCGGCUUAUCAGCUUGUUGGUGGGGUAGUGGCUUACCAAGGCUUUGACGGGUAGCCGGCCUGAGAGGGUGACCGGCCACAUGGGGACUGAGGUACGGCCAAGACUCAUACGGGAGGCAGCAGUGGGGAAUAUUGCACAACGGGCGGAAGCCUGAUGCAGCAACGCCGCGUGCGGGAGGACGGCCUUCGGGUGGUAAACCGCUUUCGCCUGUGACGAAGCGUGAGGGACGGUAAUGGGUAAAGAAGCACCGGCGACUUACGU
rnacentral:rRNA from 1 species